rnacentral:rRNA from 1 species
GAUGAACGCUGGCGGCGUGCCUAAUACAUGCAAGUCGAGCGAACAGACGAGGAGCUUGCUCCUUCGACGUUAGCGGCGGACGGGUGAGUAACACGUAGGUAACCUACCUAUAAGACUGGGAUAACUUCGGGAAACCGGAGCUAAUACCGGAUAAUAUUUCGAACCGCAUGGUUCGAUAGUGAAAGAUGGCUUUGCUAUCACUUAUAGAUGGACCUGCGCCGUAUUAGCUAGUUGGUAAGGUAACGGCUUACCAAGGCAACGAUACGUAGCCGACCUGAGAGGGUGAUCGGCCACACUGGAACUGAGACACGGUCCAGACUCCUACGGGAGGCAGCAGUAGGGAAUCUUCCGCAAUGGGCGAAAGCUUGACGGAGCAACGCCGCGUGAGUGAUGAAGGUCUUCGGAUCGUAAAACUCUGUUAUUAGGGAAGAACAAACGUGUAAGUAACUGUGCACGUCUUGACGGUACCUAAGCAGAAAGCCACGGCUAACUACGU